GAAUUUGUCGGUUGGUCGGGCUUCACUGUCCGCACUGGCCUGAUAGAUUCAUACCUUCUGAAUAACCAGCAUGCUAUUAAUUUAGUGCGUUGGGGAAGCAGAGCUAUUACCUUGAAAAAAUUAGAGUGCUUAAAGCAGGCUUAUGCUUGAAUAGAUUAGCAUGGAAUAAUAAAAUAGGACGGCUUGGUUCUAUUUUGUUGGUUUCUAGGAUCACCGUA
rnacentral:rRNA from 1 species